UGCACGGAUAUCUUCCUUAGCACAGGAUUCCACUGCAGGCAUGCACUAGAAUUGCUUUAAAGCACUCUUGGGUAUUUAAAAUUGCAACAAUUAUAUCUCUGCAGCUAAGUUUUUGUGCUCAUCCUUGUUCUCUAGAAAAACAUCUAGAAGUGGAAUUUCUCAGCCACUUUGAAGACUUCCUAGGCAGCACUCAAUGAUGCUGUAGGUAAGGGGUAUCAAAUUGCACUCAGGUGGGUCCAAGGGCUCCCUUUGCUCAGCCUCUGGAGAAUGAGGGCCCUGACUGAAUAGCAGAAGCUACAGUGAGCGGGUAAGAGCCAGCUCCAGAUGUGGUGGCUGGAAAGGAGGCCCUAGGAAGAGCCUGGUGGGAGGGAUUGCCACACUUAGAUGCCGAGUUCCAGCCCAAAGUGGUCAGACAGGAGGACUUUCCCUCCCUUCCCUUCAGAGUGAAGGGUACCCUCCCUCUGGAUGUGAAUUAGGCAGGUGAUUGGUGGAGCCCUCAAUCAAUUAGUGAAAAGAAAGGGUAAAGAAUGGGAAGGAAGGUGGAGAUGCCAGGUGCACAUAAUGCCCACUUCGUCCUAAUGCUCUGGGCCUCUCCCACACCUCCAAGCCAACCCUGCACCGUAGCAGAUCACUGGCGGGAUUUUUCUUAAUAAAAUAUGACCACCAUAGACUGUAGCAGUGUUCUAGGUCCUACGUGUGGAGAUUCAUUCUGUACCUACAGAGAUGGCAAGGUCCCACAGACCAGGAGGGCAGGGCAGGGAGACCUGGGUGCUCAGGGCAGGAGCAAGGGGGGGAACAAUGAGUCCUGAGUGGAUGGAGCCCGAGGGAAGAGCAUGGUGAGCACGGUGAGCCCAGUGAGCCGGAGUGUUCUGGACCCUGGAGGGAAGCAGAGGGGCAGGAUGUGGCCCUCACUGACACGUGUUUAAGGGCUGACAUCA
rnacentral:lncRNA from 1 species